GAUAUUUAUUGUCGUUUGCACAGCAGAAGUACAGGUACAUUGGAAUAAUUGUGUGAUUCUUGGAGUCCGUUUAAAAAAAAAAACAUCUUUAUUUUAAGAGGGAUAGAAUAUAACAGUAAGCAUUCAGGAUGGUAGGCUUUUUCUAGCACAGUUCAAGUACUUACCUUCAUAAGAACCAAGUUGUUUUUUACACCCAUGAUGCUGAGGUUAUAUUUCUAAUGAUUUACCUUUUUCUCUUAGAUCAAGCCUUUGUGAUUCAUCACCAGUUAUGAAAAAAGAAAGUUAAUCUAUGGGCUGGAGCAGCUGUCUCUGAGAGGAAAAGAAAAAAAUUAUAGCUCAAAGAACAAAAGCAAUGGCAUCACUUAUAAUUACAUCUGUAACUACUUAUAAAGUACUAUGUUGCACGUGCAGAUGCGACCACUUCUUUUUCUGGGCAGCUGAUUUGGCUUUUGAGACACGGACCAUCUUGUAGAGACAAGGCUCAAUCAAAGACCAAAAAGCCAUCAGGUGGUCGUAGCUGGCAAAUCUAUUCACAAAAGACAUCAAAUAAAAAAGUUAAAUUGAAAGUGUACAUCACAAGGAUACAUUGUUACCAAAAUAAUGUCAACAGUAACUACUAAGAUUACGAUUUUAUAUAUAUAUAUAUAUAUAUAUAUAUAUAUAUAUAUAUAUAUAUACAGUAUAUGUAGCAGGGUGACCUGUAUUUUUCCCCUAUACCUGUUUCAGCCUCAGUCACCUCCCUUUUACCUGUAUUGUGACUUGUGCCACUACCCAAUGGUUGCUCUACCCGGAUGGCACCAUAACUAAUCCCUGCCACUCUGAGCGAAAGAGUAGUGUUCCUGUCCGGGCCGUAUCUUUGGGAGGCGCUGUUUGGUGGUUUGCCGUGUACUUGCAUGCAGAUAAGUAGGGUGUUACCUGCUCAAUUCAUACAUUUUUACAAUUGUUUAUUAAUAGUAUUUUUGUUCUAGGACCAGCAUUGGUGAAGUUGGAGACGGUCUCAUUCUGGCGCUGUCGCUUCAGUGCUCCUAUUUUCAUCUCAUAGAAUAAUAACUUAUGACUUUUUUCAACUAUUUAAAAAUAAACUUUUGUAGACUUGACCUGGAAA